rnacentral:rRNA from 1 species
UGGCGGCAUGCCUAACACAUGCAAGUCGAACGGACAUAACCAAGUUAUAGCGAUAUAAUGCGGGUAUGUUAGUGGCGAACGGGUGAGUAACACGUGAGCAACCUGCCCUGUACAACGGGAUAACAGUUGGAAACGACUGCUAAUACGGUAUAAGACCACACUGCGGCAUCGCAGAGGGGUAAAAGUGAAUUAGCGGUACAGGAUGGGCUCGCGUCCAAUUAGCUAGUUGGUGAGGUAACGGCUCACAAAGGCGACGAUUGGUAGCCGACCUGAGAGGGUGAUCGGCCACACUGGAACUGAGACACGGUCCAGACUCCUACGGGAGGCAGCAGUGGGGAAUAUUGGGCAAUGGAAGGAAACUCUUACCCAGCAAUGCCGCGUGAAGGAAGAAGGUCUUCGGAUUGUAAACUUCUUUUAUUGGGGACGAAUAAAUGACGGUACCCGAUGAAUAAGCCCCGGCUAACUAUGUGCCAGCCGCUGC